rnacentral:SRP_RNA from 1 species
GCUGAGUUUGGUGGCACAUGCCUGUAAUCCCAGCAACUCGGGAGACUGAGGCAGAAGAAUCGCCUGAACCCAGGAGGCAGAGGUUGCAGUGAGCCAAUAUCGCGCCAUUGCACUCCAGCUUGGGCCACAGAUACACACUACCACACCUGGCCAAGGUGUUUGUUUGUUGUUGUUGUUUGAGACGAAGUCUCACUCUGUUGCCCAAGCUGGAGUGCAAUGGCGCGAUAUUGGCUCACUGCAACCUCUGCCUCCUGGGUUCAGGCGAUUCUUCUGCCUCAGU